UACGGAGGGGGCUAGCGUUGUUCGGAAUUACUGGGCGUAAAGCGCACGUAGGCGGUUUCUUAAGUCAGGGGUGAAAUCCUGGAGCUCAACUCCAGAACUGCCUUUGAUACUGGGAGACUCGAGUCCGGGAGAGGUGAGUGGAACUGCGAGUGUAGAGGUGAAAUUCGUAGAUAUUCGCAAGAACACCAGUGGCGAAGGCGGCUCACUGGCCCGGUACUGACGCUGAGGUGCGAAAGCGUGGGGAGCAAACAGG
rnacentral:rRNA from 1 species